AGUGAACGCUGGCGGUAGGCCUAACACAUGCAAGUCGAACGGCAGCACAGUAAGAGCUUGCUCUUACGGGUGGCGAGUGGCGGACGGGUGAGGAAUACAUCGGAAUCUACUUUUUCGUGGGGGAUAACGUAGGGAAACUUACGCGAAUACCGCAUACGACCUACGGGUGAAAGCAGGGGAUGUUCGGACCUUGCGCGAUUGAAUGAGCCGAUGUCGGAUUAGCUAGUUGGCGGGGUAAAGGCCCACCAAGGCGACGAUCCGUAGCUGGUCUGAGAGGAUGAUCAGCCACACUGGAACUGAGACACGGUCCAGACUCCUACGGGAGGCAGCAGUGGGGAAUAUUGGACAAUGGGCGCAAGCCUGAUCCAGCCAUACCGCGUGGGUGAAGAAGGCCUUCGGGUUGUAAAGCCCUUUUGUUGGGAAAGAAAAGCAGCAGGUUAAUACCCCGCUGUUCUGACGGUACCCAAAGAAUAAGCAUCGGCUAACUUCGUG
rnacentral:rRNA from 1 species